UAAUCCCCAGGCGCCGGGUGGGCGUCGUAGGCGUGGGCGGGCGUCGUCCACCUAGCUAAGGUGGACGGAGGGGGAGGGAGAAGAGAGGAGAGCGACGGCGAUGUCCUACGGCGGCCCCAGCGAGAGUAGGGAGGUCGUCGCAGCCGUGGCGCCCUGCGUCGCCCGAGCUGAACGUAGCCGCCGCGGCCACAGGGAGAGGAGGCAGCUCGCCGCCGCCGCACCCUGCAUCGUCCAAUUUAGACGCAAACCGCCGUCGCCGCCGCCGCUGUCCAAGGCGAGGAACAGCGCGGCGGGGAGAGGAAAAGGAACGAAAGAACGGGGACGCCUCUAGCUCCCUCUGCGGGAGCCGAAUACCGGAGGAGAGAUCCCGGUCCACCACCGAUCUCCUUUCCCCUCCGCCUUCUUUAGGCGGGGUUCCGAGAGCGGCAGAGCGAGAUGGAAUACCACAACAUACCAGACAGCCUGUUCCCUUGGGCCAACGACUGACUAUAGUUUGCGGAAGAGGGAUUCUAGUACGAGGGUCCGAUUUAGUUGUGGUGGACAACCCUAGACUGAGACCACCCUACCUUGUACCUUUCGAUAACCGGCGAACGUCAGAGUGUUAGACAGUCUGCGUGUUCACCUCAAAACAAACCGUUACGAAAAGAUAACUCGUAUAAUUCUCUAACGGUAAACAGACAGGAAAAAUAAUUCUUUACUGCUUAGUAAAUCGUGCUUAAACAUUGACCAAGUUCAUGUACUGACAGUUUUAUGCCACACAAGCUGUUGUGUAGAAGAUAGUUCAACGACCCUUACAACGGACACGGGGCACCGUGACAGUUGUUAUAACCUAAGUACGUAAACUACGGGAGAACCUAGGUCCCUCUCCACGGUUUAAAAGUCACUUAAUAUCGCACUUAAAGUAUCGGACGUCGUAAACGGAUGUCGGCUAUCUUAGAUACUAGGGUGUUCCCGACAGAGAUACUCGAUUUGUUAAUGUCAUGUUCCGUGUGAGCUUAAGUCUGAAAUCUCGGAGUACUCGUUACAACACUCUCGAUAGAUUUCUUUUAGGGAGAAUUAAGACAAGACCAACAUACUACCUUAAACUAAUCUAUUCUUAGGUGCAGACCUCCGUGGCAGGCAGAGUACCGCGGGGGGUAGAGCGACGACGGAGCAGAGUACCGCAGGUUAUUGGUUUCCAUAAAAAAAUUAACCAUAAUAAAGAAACAACCAUUAUAAAUGAUAACAUUUACCGCACUAGACUACUACAUAGGACCUAUGUUAAGUUAAUUAAUUUACUACGGACAUGUUAUACUAGACAUCAUAUCGGUCGAGAUACACUCCCGUUACACUUUGUUACAUUUCAUGAUCCAAGAAGGAUUUAUCGUGAACUGUGAAAUAACACGUAAAACCUCGAUACUUCUUAAAUCGAGACAUCCACGGUAACCAAAGACCAUAUCUACUGUAGGGAUUACGGUGUCCACCGAACAGAAGUUUCUAACAUAAGAAUAAAUCAUCACACAACGUCAUUUCGAAAGAGAAAACACAUUUUGACAUUGUUUGGUACACGAGAAUAAUAAACCCGCAUUAGAGUACGACCAAUUUGAUGAAUGACACUCUCACUGUACGGUUUCACCCGUUUGACGGAACACAGUCCAAGGUUCCUUAUACGUCUUAUGUCAAGUGCGUGUAACGCGCAUAUACGUCUUAGUGACCAAAAAAGUCACGUGUAAUGUCUCAUUCUGUUGCAACUACUAAGUUGUUCUUUUAUUACCACAAAAGAAACGUAUGUUAUCUGUUGAAGUUACAAUGUUUAUGUUCCGUAAAGUCAGGUAUCCGAAGCCUCAAGUCUGGUAGUGGGUGCUCUUGUGUACGUUUCACAAAGGUAAAAGCAACGUCUAGAGCCAAUUAAGAGGUGUACUGUGUCUACGUUGGACGCGUGUGUUUUUCUUUCCGUUUUUAAGUCUAUGUUUCUCAUGAAAAGAAGAGAAUGAGGAACAUACGAAACGUUAGAAGUUCUGGUAACGAGAGACGACCAGGUACACU
rnacentral:rRNA from 1 species